rnacentral:rRNA from 1 species
ACGUAGGGGGCGAGCGUUGUCCGGAAUUAUUGGGCGUAAAGCGCGCGCAGGCGGUUCCUUAAGUCUGAUGUGAAAGCCCACGGCUCAACCGUGGAGGGUCAUUGGAAACUGGGGGACUUGAGUGCAGGAGAGGAGAGCGGAAUUCCACGUGUAGCGGUGAAAUGCGUAGAGAUGUGGAGGAACACCAGUGGCGAAGGCGGCUCUCUGGCCUGCAACUGACGCUGAGGCGCGAAAGCGUGGGGAGCAAACAG